AACGCGAAGAACCUUACCUGGGCUCGAACGGCUUAAGACCAUCCUUGGAAACAGGGACUUCCCGCAAGGGACUUGAGUCGAGGUGCUGCAUGGCUGUCGUCAGCUCGUGUCGUGAGAUGUUGGGUUAAGUCCCGCAACGAGCGCAACCCUUGUCCUGUGUUGCCACUCCCCUUAAAAGGAAGCACUCGCAGGAGACCGCCAGCGAUAAGUUGGAGGAAGGUGGGGAUGAUGUCAAGUCAUCAUGGCCUUUAUGUCCAGGGCUACACACGUGCUACAAUGGACGGUACAAAGCGCUGCAAACCCGCGAGGGGGAGCUAAUCGCAAAAAACCGUUCUCAGUUCGGAUCGCAGGCUGCAACUCGCCUGCGUGAAGCUGGAAUCGCUAGUAAUGCCGUAUCAGAACGAUGGCGUGAAUACGUUCCCGGGCCUUGUA
rnacentral:rRNA from 1 species